ensembl:lncRNA
GUGAGAGGGCGCCCCAAUUUUGGCCAUGACUAUCUACUCUUGCUCUCACAGAAUUUCCUCUUGGCUAAGCUUUCUUCUAUGUUUGCAUGACUGAAGUUUCAGUCUAAAAGCCAGUCAGGUCAAUCAGCGCUGUGGUUGUCUCUCAAUUGUUUGUAGACGUGGAGGGGCAAAGAGGGCGAGUACCUGGCUCCUGUCUCUGAUCAGGACACACCCGGGUCAGAAAGAUGAGGUCUGUCCGGUUCUGCAAGGGUGUUAUUUGAAGAAUGAAAGGGGACGACUUCGUCUGGUACUCAGAGAAGCCCAAUCAUUCAUAGAGCUGCAGGAGCUUUUCUUAUCUUGUAAAAGUGGACUCAGUGAAGACAGGUGUGUUCACUCGUGUCUUGGAUUGUGUGGCGUAAAGAAACUGGGACGUUUUACACCAUGACAUGGGCAGUUGUCUACCUCGUGACAGCACUUCAUCUGACCCAUGGAGGACAGUCAGUCGGGACGGUACAGGCUGCCAUCUGCUUUGACA